CCAGGUCUCCGGCCGGGUGGACACUCGCCAGCCCCUGAAGGCCGGACAGCAGGCGGGCAGGCGCGCUGAGGGACGUGACGUGGUCCGGUGUGACGGCGAGGACAGGCGGGCUGCCGUCGGGCCUUCCCGGACACCCGGCUGGCACGCGGAACGCUGCGACACAGCGGGUCUCUGUCCCUUCACUUUCCCGAAGGAGUCUUCACUCUGCUGCUCUCUGGACCCCAGAACCCUCCACACGAAAGAAAUGGUGCUACCCAGCUCAUGCCUGGGCCUUCCCAUCCGGGACGUCUGCACGUCUGUCCAGCUCUGCAGGGAGACAGACAGGCUGCACACGGAACCACUACUCCACCCGACUCAGGAACCGGCUCCGAGGGUUGAGCUGAAGGAACAGGACCCGCAGACACCACCCAAGAGCAGCAUCCGCGCCACCCCCAGCUUGGCAACUCCACCGCCGCGGCCACCCCCUGCCACGCGUGGGGACCGCGCCCGCCCGCCACGCCAUCCCGGGGCGGGACGGCCCCCCACCUCCCUCUUCUGUCCUUCUUCCUCCUUUCCUUGUCUUCUGCUUUCUGCCUUUUCUGUCUUUCCUCUGCUUGAGAGGCGCCAGGCACCCGCGGCUCCGUCCCCGUCCCUCCCAAGCUCGAUUUGCACUAAGUCACUUGCACUGGUUUGGAGCCGGCGGCGGCCUCGGGUCUCUCCGUGCGAGUGAGCGUGUGCGUGUGCGUGUGCGUGUGCGUGUGCGGCCCCCUUGGCCAGCAGCUCCGCGCCGGCGCCCGCCUGCCUGUCCACCUCUGUCUGGGGGCGCCCGGGCGCGGCCGUGUGCAUGAGGCCUCACCCUCCCUCGCCUGGUCUGGAAGCUCCCCGACAACGGAGCACUCGACGACACCCCACACCCCCACCUUGCCCGUGCCCUUCCCCCGCCGGGGCCUCACCAGAAGCCCCGGCCUCAUCAAUAAAUACAGUUACAGUCACCCGU
rnacentral:lncRNA from 1 species